rnacentral:tRNA from 1 species
GCUUGGAUAGCUCAGUCGGUAGAGCAACGCACUCGUAAUGCGUAGGUCGCAAGUUCGAUUCUUGUUCCAAGCA